UUUGACUUAAGCAGGAUAUGGAGGACCAAUAAAAAAAGAUAUAAGUCUUGGCCGAUGAACUUCUGAGUGUCAGAAGUGUGCUAUAUUAAUGGCAGGACUUUAGCUGACACCAGUAGAGCUUGCCUCUAUGACUGGAGUUGAUAGUGCUCUCUGCCACAUUC
rfam:Myotis lucifugus cont2.32021, whole genome shotgun sequence.